UACGAAGGGGGCUAGCGUUGCUCGGAAUCACUGGGCGUAAAGGGUGCGUAGGCGGGUCUUUUAAGUCAGGGGUGAAAUCCUGGAGCUCAACUCCAGAACUGCCUUUGAUACUGAAGAUCUUGAGUUCGGGAGAGGUGAGUGGAACUGCGAGUGUAGAGGUGAAAUUCGUAGAUAUUCGCAAGAACACCAGUGGCGAAGGCGGCUCACUGGCCCGAUACUGACGCUGAUGCACGAAAGCGUGGGGGAGCAAACAGGG
rnacentral:rRNA from 1 species